rnacentral:tRNA from 1 species
GUCCUGGAUAGCUCAGUUGGUUAGAGUGUGGUGCUGAUGAUGCCAAGUUUGCAGGUUCAAUCCUUGUAUGGGGCA